GAUGAAGAACGCAGCGAAAUGCGAUAAGUAAUGCGAAUUGCAGAAUUCCAGUGAGUCAUCGAAUCUUUGAACGCACAUUGCGCCCCUUGGUAUUCCAUGGGGCAUGCCUGUUCGAGCGUCAUUUGUACCUUCAAGCUUUGCUUGGUGUUGGGUGUUUGUCUCGCCUUUGCGUGUAGACUCGCCUUAAAAUAAUUGGCAGCCGGCGUAUUGAUUUCGGAGCGCAGUACAUCUCGCGCUUUGCACUCAUAACGACAGCGUCCAAAAGUACAUUUUACACUCUUGACCUCGGAUCAGGUAGGGAUACCCGCUGAACUUAAGCAUAUCAAUAAGCGGAGGA
rnacentral:misc_RNA from 1 species